AUUCUGUGCGGUACAUGAGAUGUAAGACUAAGGCCAUGUAUGCACAGCCACUCUGUGCUGUAUAUGACAUGCACGACUAAGGCCAUGUAGGUCGAAAUGUCACAUUUACUUUCUGUUGUAUCCUGUGUGCACCAAUAAACCUGAUUAUAGAGCACCGGGAUUGUAAAACCCUAAGUAGUUCAUAAUAUCGGGGUUCAAUACGUUGCACAGCUGCCUGUGGCCUCCAUAUUUGUGCUCUUGGCCAGAACAAUAAAGGUUAAAGAGU